rnacentral:lncRNA from 1 species
CAUAGUUGCCAAGUUUUAUAUAAUUCAAAAGAAGAGCACGGAAUCAAAUAUUUAUUGUUACAUUAAAACAAGCUAAGACCUAAUAUAUAUAAAUUUGUUAAAUAUAUUAUCACAAUUCAACAAAUGGCAUAAUGGUCAAACCACUAAUAAUUUUAAGAAUAGCUCCAGGUUCGAAUCCCCCCUCCUCAUUCCAUUGAUUUUAAAUUGUAAAACUAAAAA